GAUGAGACACAUUCAGCAUUUAUAAUUUUUUCUCUUUUUUUGUUUGACUUUGUUUUCUACAGUAGCCUGUUAACAGUAGACCAAAGGUAUGAUGAUCAAUUAUAAAUGCAAUAUGGUUGAAAGCUUGACAAAAAUGUAGCUUGAAGGAGAAGGGACAGCUGAGUAACAGAGUCCUGGUACGCAGACGACGAUACUAUUACACUGACAAGAGUGUAAUGAUGAUGGAGACACAAGCCAGAGAAAGGGGGGACCAAACACCAGGCCAGAAUUCUGCAUGAGUCAGAUCCAGUGGGUGCAGAUCAUCAUACAGAUGGUUCAAGUGUGGAUCCACCUAAUAUUCAAGAUUUUCUGUCCUGGGACACUCGGCUAACCAUCAAGAAAGAACACACA